rnacentral:lncRNA from 1 species
GUUUCUGAUUGGCAGCCAGGAGGUGGUGACUAGGAGUAUGUGAUGGGGAAGGGUGUGGGCGUUUCUUGAGUGGGUCUGGAGGGCCUCCGGGAGCCAUUGCCCAGGGAAGGCAUUUGAAGCCACUGGCUCCUUGUAGAUCCACGGUCCUGGAAUUCUAGAUUAAGUGUUAAAGUCUGGUGAAGAUCAAGGCUUGAUUCAAGUCAGGUCUUGGAGAUGAGAAACAGUGGGAAGGGGUGUGAAUGUGGGGAGGGUGUGGGGCCAGGGGCCGAAGAUGCCGUCAGGCUGAUGGCUGUCUGAGAAGCCAAGGUCCUCCUGCAUUCCUUGGCUCAUGGGACCUUCUUUCAUCAUCGAAGUGCAUCACCCAAUCUGCUUCUGUCAUCACAUCACCGUCUCUUCUGACUCUGACUCCUUCUGCGUGUCUCAUAAAGAUCUUUGUGAUGACAUCCGGUCCACCCAGGGCUGAUUUUAAGCCACACGAGGACUCCGUGAACCUGAAGUUGAAAAGAAAUGCUACCCUGCUGCUCCAGGACACCACUGGACACUCGUUCUCAAAAGGACCCUAACAAUGC